rnacentral:tRNA from 1 species
CAAGAAAUAGCUUAAGGAAUAAAGCAUUUUAUUUACAUUAAAAAAAUACAGUUAGUUUUCUUGA